rfam:Gossypium raimondii Chr07_contig_1323, whole genome shotgun sequence.
GGGCCUGUAGCUCAGAGGAUUAGAGCACGUGGCUACAAACUACGAUGUCAGGGGUUUGAAUCCCCCUUCGGCCA